AGGUGAAUUAGUAUGUGUGUGUGUUUGUGUGAGUGUGUGUGUGUAUGUAUAUUUAAAGUUAAAAAAUGUUUAAGGGGUGUAUGUUAGUAGAAUCACAGCAGGGAAAAAAUUACAUGCUUAGAUACUUUGAAAAUAGUUUAAUAAAAUAAAAGGAUUGUUUAUAAAACUGUGGGUAGAAAUUAGGAAAACCACAGGAUAGGACCUCAAGUUGGGGGAAUGCAGAGGGCUCCUGACAGCUGCUAAGCUUCGGGUUGAGGGAGGCAGCCAGUGUGCCAAGGUGCUGCAGGGGAAAACAGGAAAUUAGAUGCCCUGGCCUCUCCCUUCUUUCUUCCUGCAAGCUUAUACCAGUGUCUCCUAUUGGACAAACCAAGUGGGAAGGCAGAAGGCACAGGUGUCCAUUGAUACAGUCCACAGAGGUGAAAUCCCCAGAGUGGAGGAGAGUGGAUCGGGGCAAGUGGAAAUUGCCCAGCAUGGGGAAGACUCUGUGCACAUCCUAGAAGUGCCCAGCUGCCUUCUUAUUGUAACCCCAGUGACCAUAUCUGGGUUUACAUGCCUGUUUCUAGACCAGUCACAGGCAAACCAGAAUGGAAUGCUCUACAGGCUGCCUUGGGAAAAGUGUGAUGUGCUCUUCACGGGAACAGCAGUGAGUCUAUCGUGUCCAUUAAGAGAAGGGGCUCUGAAGCCUGAUGACCACAGUUCAAAUCCUGGCUCUAUCAUUCCUGAGUUAUAUAACCCUUGCCAAGGAGCUUAACUUUUUGUUCCUCAGUUUUGCCAUCUGUAGAAUGGUGAUAAUGAUACUUCCCAGGUUGACAUAACGAUUAAAUGUUUAAUGUACAAAAGGUGCUUAACACAGUACUUGGCUCGCAGCAAAGGUUAACUACUGAUCAUCUAUUGUAUAUUUCAAAGUAGCUAGAAGAUAGCAAUUCAAAUGUUUCUAGCAUGAAGAAAAGACAACAAUUUAAGGCAAUGUAAAUCCUGAAGAUAAUGAUUUGAUCUUUACAAGUUAUUCAAAUGUGUUAAAUGAUCACAUGUAUCCCCAAUGUAUGUACAACUAUUAUGUAUUAAUAAAAAAAUUUAACAAAAUUAAAAAAACA
rnacentral:lncRNA from 13 species